UACGUAGGGGGCAAGCGUUGUCCGGAAUUAUUGGGCGUAAAGAGCGCGUAGGCGGUCCGAUAAGUCGGCUGUGAAAGUCAGGGGCUCAACCCUUGAAAGCCGGCCGAUACUGUCGGACUAGAGUCCGGAAGAGGCAAGUGGAAUUCCCGGUGUAGCGGUGAAAUGCGCAGAUAUCGGGAGGAACACCGGUGGCGAAGGCGGCAUCCUGGACCGGCAUUGACGCUGAGGCGCGAAAGCCAGGGGAGCAAACGGG
rnacentral:rRNA from 1 species